UACAUAGGGGGCUAGCGUUGUCCGGAAUCAUUGGGCGUAAAGCGCGCGUAGGCGGCCCGGUAAGUCCGCUGUAAAAGUCAAAGGCUCAACCUUUGAAUGUCAGUGGAUACUGCCGGGCUAGAGUCCGGAAGAGGCGAGUGGAACUCCUGGUGUAGCGGUGGAAUGCGCAGAUAUCAGGAGGAACACCGGUGGCGAAGGCGGAUCUCUGGGCCUUACCUGACGCUGAGGGGCGAAAGCGUGGGGAGCGAACGGG
rnacentral:rRNA from 1 species